rnacentral:rRNA from 1 species
GUGCCAGCCGCCGCGGUAAUACGGAGGGUGCGAGCGUUGUCCGGAAUCACUGGGCGUAAAGGGCGCGUAGGUGGCGCGGGCAGUCAACGGUGAAAGUUCGGGGCUCAACCCUGAAUCGGCCGUCGAUACUCCCGUGCUUGAGCACUGUAGAGGCAGAUGGAAUUCCGGGUGUAGCGGUGGAAUGCGUAGAGAUCCGGAAGAACACCGGUGGCGAAGGCGGUCUGCUGGGCAGUAGCUGACACUGAGGCGCGACAGCGUGGGGAGCAAACAGGAUUAGAUACCCUGGUAGUCC